rnacentral:misc_RNA from 1 species
CCAUCCAUGUCCACCGUGUAAUAGAUCUUUUGGAUUGGUGUCUUCACUGAAACACCGUCGAGCGAGGACUGAGACAGCUGAGUGAGUGAGUUUAGCAAGUUAGGCUGACAAGAUGUCGUUUACAUUGAGAAGCGUGAAGGUUCCUCCGAACUCGGCGAGUCUGGAGGAGGCAAGGGCUCGUGUUUUCGAUUUCUUUAGAACGGCCUGCAGAUCAAUUCCCCAAAUCGUGGAAAUCUACAAUCUACAGGACGUCGUCACUGUGUCCCAGCUCCGUUCCACCAUCGCCUCUGAGAUUCGCAAGAACUCCAACAUCACCAAUCCCAAGGUAAUUGAUUUGCUGCUUUUCAAAGGAACGGAAGAGCUGAGCAACAUUACUGAGCAUGCAAAGCAGCGCCA